AAAACUGCUAAAUACAUUUUAAAUUCAAGAUAUAAAAUACAAGGUUAUUAUUUAAAUUGUCUAUGGAGUGAUCAUGUUUAUAAAUGUAAUACUGCAAGACUUUAAUGUGCGCGCGCGCGUCUUGCUUCCAACACUGGAGCGGAGAGGAUGUUGCUAUGGGAAACGAAGCUACAACACGACACGACGCCACCAUAAAGACACAACACGACUUCUCUUAAGCUGCCGUUUUGACUGUUUUCAGGAGUGAGAGAAUAACCCCCUGCUACAGAAAAUAUAACAUAAGAUUCCUACAUUUCUGAAGGGAGCUGAUCACAGAGAUGCAGAAAAGACAGGAGGUCAAAGUUUAACCUAAGUGCUGUGUAGCUGAUGAACAUCUUUAUAUGCAAAACCGGAGCACCCAGAGAAAACCCACGCAAACG